rnacentral:rRNA from 1 species
UACGUAGGGGGCUAGCGUUGUCCGGAAUCAUUGGGCGUAAAGAGCGCGUAGGCGGCUCGGUAAGUCCGCUGUAAAAGUCAAAGGCUCAACCUUUGAAUGUCAGUGGAAACUGCCGGGCUAGAGUCCGGAAGAGGCGAGUGGAAUUCCUGGUGUAGCGGUGGAAUGCGCAGAUAUCAGGAGGAACACCAGCGGCGAAGGCAGCUCGCUGGGACGGUACUGACGCUGAGGCGCGAAAGCGUGGGGAGCGAACAGG